rnacentral:rRNA from 1 species
CCUACGGGAGGCAGCAGUAGGGAAUCUUCCACAAUGGGCGAAAGCCUGAUGGAGCAACGCCGCGUGGGUGAAGAAGGUCUUCGGAUCGUAAAACCCUGUUGUUAGAGAAGAAAGUGCGUGAGAGUAACUGUUCACGUUUCGACGGUAUCUAACCAGAAAGCGACGGCUAACUACGUGCCAGCAGCCUCGGUAAUACGGAGGUGGCAAGCGUUAUCCGGAGUGAUUGGGCGUAAAGGGAACGCAGGCGGUCUUUUAAGUCAGAUGUGAAAGCCUUCGGCUUAACCGGAGUAGUGCAUUGGAAACUGUGAGACUUGAGGGCAGAAGAGGAUGGUGGAACUCCAUGUGUAGCGGUGAAAUGCGUAGAUAUAUGGAAGAACACCAGUGGCGAAAGCGGCUCUCUGGUCUGUAACUGACGCUGAGGUGCGAAAGCGUGGGUAGCAAACAGGAUUAGAUACCCUUGUAGUC